rnacentral:rRNA from 1 species
UAAUCACUUGCUUAUUAAUUGUAAGCCUGUAUGAAAGGCAGAAUGAGGGCCUAACUGUCUCUUAUAAUAAAUCAAUUAAACUGAUCUUCCAGUACAAAAGCUGGAAUACUUACAUAAGACCAGAAGACCCUGUGAAGCUUAAACUAAACUAUUAAAUCACAUAAUAACUACUUUCGGUUGGGGCGACCUUGGAAAAAAAAAGAACUUCCAAAUACACGAUCUUAAUCGUAUCAAUAGGCCAACAAGCCAAAUAUAGACCCAGCACAGCUGACAAAUGAACCAAGUUACUCCAGGGAUAACAGCGCUAUCUUCUUCAAGAGCCCAUAUCAAAAAGAAGGUUUACGACCUCGAUGUUGGAUCAGGACAUCCUAUUGGUGCAGCCGCUAUUAAAGGUU